GGUAGAAAAUUAAAAAAAAAAAACCCUACCUAUUCACAGACGUCAUGGUCCUGUGUAUAGAGAAUUCCAGAGAAUUCAUAAGAAAGGUGGAUGCUUUCACAGACCCGCUGGCCACACCAGCACCCAGCACCAGUUGUUUCCGGGUUUGGGGGUGCACCUCAGUGGUGGCCCCCCCACAUACCCAAGGCCUUGGGUUAAAUUCCUAGCACCCCCACCCCUGCCAAAUUCUGUGUGUUUCUACACUCUAGUGAUGGCUGAUCUGAAAAGGAAAUUUAAAAAGGUUUAAAAUACCAUUUAAAAGAAUCAAAGAGUAAAUCUGCCCAAGGGGCUGAGGGUGUAUAUCCUGAAAGCUGCGACACUCGGCUGACAGGGACGAGGCUCUCGGUGAAUGGAAGGACACCCCGUGUCCACGGUGGGAGACCCACCUUGGCGCCAAUGCUGACUGCCGUGUCCUAGGGGACCACACACCUCCACUGGCGCCCCAAGAGCCCUUUGCACAAAAUGGAAAAGCCCAGCCUCAAAUUUAUAUGGGGUUCAAGGGACCCAAACAACAACAACAACAACAAACAACAAACACUUGAAAAUCAAUCGAUUCAGAGAACACCCAGUUUCCGGGCCAGGACUGACCACAAUCCUAGAGCGAUGGGAACCGCGGGCCCGGCCUGCAGAGGACACGGAGACGGAGGGGGGGAAGCCCGGGAGCCCACCCUCGCACCUGUGGCCAGGGAUUCUGUUUUACUCUUUGUCAGUUGCAGGUGGACACAAUAGCUGUGCCCCUGGGCCCCAGCCCCAGCCCCGGCCAGUUGAUGGCGAGACCACGCAGCGGGUCAGAACAGUCUCUUCAACAAAUGGUGCUGAGAACACUGAUUUCCAUGUAAAAAGGGAUAAAUGUGGAUCCUUAUACAAAACCUAACUCAUAAGGGGUCCAAGACCUGAACUCAGAGCUUUAGAAGAAGACGUUGGGGAGAAUCUCCAUGAACACACACAUCUCAUGUUCCCAUGCACAGGACGCCGAGGCCCAGCGACGGAGGAGAGAAGGUCCAGGGUAUAUGAAGACCUGUGCGGUUCCAUAGAAAGCAACGCAAUCAAAACCAAGAGACAGGAACAGAGGUUUCCUUAAAGGAAACACAAUCGGCCACGGUGCCCUCAGAAGGUGCCUGCGACCCUGGCCACCGGGAGAUGCAAGUCAGAGCCACAGGAGUGACCGAUCCCCGGAGGCUCUGAGACAGCACAGCCGUCCCCAGGCCUCACGGCUCCUGCUGUUGGGCACUUGGCACAAGCUUCACUGAGACAUGUGACACACAGAGAAUCGGGCCGCAGAGAGGACAGCUAGAAGGAGCAGCCAGCCAGCACCUGCCCAGAAGCCCGGUGUCCCCUCCGGUCACUGCUGCCCUGGGGGAGCCGCCAGCUUUGCCCCAUAGAGCAGUUUGCUGCUUUGAGCUGGACACCUGCGGAUGGGCAGGCCUCCUCACUGCCAGGUGGCUGUCUCAGGUAUUUUGUUGCAGCUACAGAAAACCAACCCCCCACCAGACGGAGGUGACGGUGUGCAGAGGGCUCAGCCCCAGCAGCUGCAGGCCCCAGGAGCCCAGGCCAGUUCUCCCCUCCUGGGCCCGUGCCGCCUCCCCCGCCUCUCAGGGACGCCAGACCGCUUUGUCCACUGCAAAGGCCAGCAAGCAUGACCUGUUGUCCCCUUCCAGGUGCCUUGGUGGGCGGGCUGUGGGUGGGGUGGGGCCAGGGGACCAGCGGUGUCCCUGGGCGCUGGCUCCCUGGGUCCCUGGCUCUGAGUUUCCCACGUGACCCCCUCUCUGUCCCUCCUUUCUUGGAAUCUCUUUCUCUGACUUGGUGGGUUGGGGGCACGUCUCACUGCCCCCUUCCCUGCAUGGGGGGUCCCAGGAGGCACCACCCCCCACGGGGGGCCACCCCCAUCUCGGCCGCGGCCCCAGCACCUGCUUUAGGAGCCCACGCGCCCUGGGCCCUUCUGCCCGCUGGGAGCCCCCCGCCCAGCAGCUCUGGGUGGGGGCAGGAGAGGUCACCUGGCCGCAGUCCCUGUGCCUCCACAAGGACCACCCCCACAGGUGCCAGGGCCGUGCCAGCCUGGAGAGAGCACCCUGCGUUCUGGAAAUUAACCCAGGAAGGACGUUAGUGCUCGUGUGUCCGCCACCCUCUGUGCCAGGCCUGUGCCCACAGCUUCUCACGUGAGCAAGGGUGAUCUUCAUGGGGACCUGCAAGGGACCUGCCACUGUCACCCUCGGUUUAAAAGCAAGAGAGUGAGGCGGAGGGAGUGAGGUGAAGGGGCCAGCCUUGAGCCACACACGGGUCCUGUCGCCCCCUCCCCGCCGUCUUGCCUGGACCUGGAGUGGGGCCGCAUCUCCACUGUGGUUGGAGGGUCAAGGGAGGCAGAAUGGGCAGGACAGGGCAGCUGGGGAGCAGGGUACCUGGCAGUGGGCACCACAGGGCAGAG